AUGGGUAGCCACAAAUUUAACUUUUGCUGCUGGAACGUGCGAGGACUCGGCCAAAGCCAGAAGUGCUCAGAUGUCCUCACUGAGCUUUUAGCCAUUAACCCCCAUGCGUGCUUCCUGCAGGAAACUAAACUUAGUUCCAUCAACACCCUUAAGCAAAACACUUUUCUCCCUAAGCAUCUCGACCUCUCCCACUUUCUCGCGGCCUCCGGCUCUGUAGGUGGCAUGAUCUCGGCCUUCUCCUCCUCACACUUCUCCCUCCGCGCCCCGGCCCCGGCCACCUACACCUUAACCUCUGCGGUAUCCUCCCUCGCCUCCCCGAAUCCGCUUACCAUCACUAACGUUUAUGCGCCCACGGACCAUACCCUUAAACCCUCCUUUCUGGCUGAACUUGCAAACGCUGCUCCCUCGCCAUCCACGCCCUGGCUGAUCCUAGGUGAUUUCAACCUAAUGCGGAACCCCUCUGACAAGAAUACGUCUAACUUUCGCCAAGCCGAAGCGGACAUGUUCAACGACUUCAUCCACCAACAUGCGCUGAUUGAACUCCCUCUCAUCGACCAUUGUUUCACCUGGUCUAGCAAUCGGGACCAACCCACAUUGGAAAGACCGCAUGUCCCUCUGCUCAUCACGAUUGACACCCUCAUUCCGUGCCCCGCCCUUUUUCGCUUCGAAAAUAGGUGGGCCGUUCGGCCGGCCUGCCAUGCCGUAAUCCAAACUGCUUUGGCCGCUGCCCACGCCCGUCCAAGCCACGCCCUAACCCUUGCUGCCGCGCUCAAGCGGUUGCGUGCUGAUUUGAAAAUUUGGCGCCGGCAGGCUAUCCCUCUCAAUUCGAGGGAAAAUAACUGCAAAGUCGUCAUCUCUGUUAUGGACAUCAUUGAAGAAUCUCGCUUCCUUUCUCCCCCUGAGCUUGCCCUCCGACGUGUCGUGAUCAAAGUCCUCCAGCGCACCCUCAGGGAAAAGGCCCUCUACUGGACUCAACGAGGGAAAAUCCGUUCGACAAUGGAGGGAGAUGAAAACUCUCGCUACUUCCACGCCUCUACUUCUGCCCAGCUCCGCAACAACAAGAUCAAUGUGCUGGUAGACAAUGGGUUAGAAUUUUUCUCCCACGACGCCAAAUCUCGUAUCCUUUCGGAUUACUACACAUCCAUUCUUGGCACUGCCUUCCAACCCUCCUAG
rnacentral:rRNA from 1 species